rnacentral:rRNA from 1 species
GAUGAACGCUGGCGGCGUGCCUAAUACAUGCCAGUCGAGCGAACAGACGAGGAGCUUGCUCCUUCGACGUUAGCGGCGGACGGGUGAGUAACACGUAGGUAACCUACCUAUAAGACUGGGAUAACUUCGGGAAACCGGAGCUAAUACCGGAUAAUAUUUCGAACCGCAUGGUUCGAUAGUGAAAGAUGGCUUUGCUAUCACUUAUAGAUGGACCUGCGCCGUAUUAGCUAGUUGGUAAGGUAACGGCUUACCGAGGCAACGAUACGUAGCCGACCUGAGAGGGUGAUCGGCCACACUGGAACUGAGACACGGUCCAGACUCCUACGGGAGGCAGCAGUAGGGAAUCUUCCGCAAUGGGCGAAAGCCUGACGGAGCAACGCCGCGUGAGUGAUGAAGGUCUUCGGAUCGUAAAACUCUGUUAUUAGGGAAGAACAAACGUGUAAGUAACUGUGCACGUCUUGACGGUACCUAAUCAGAAAGCCACGGCUAACUACGUG